UAUUAUUAAUAUUAUAUGGUCUUAUGAAUUAAAAAUUUUAAUAUUUUUAACUAAUUUUCAAUAUUGCAAUCAAACAAUGGAAAAUAAAUCAUUUGAAAAAUAUUUUAAAGUAAAACAUGUUCCAAAGAUAAGUUAAUGUUCCAGAAACAAAUGGAGACUAAUUAAGAUUUCUAGAUACAUCAAAUUAGCUGUGAUAUUGGUGAUGAAUGAUUCUUAUCGAAUGGCAUCCUUGUUGUACUCAUUAGUGUCAAUUCACAGCGAGACAACUUGCAUUAUUUUUCUUUGCCAUUCAUUAGAUAAUACACGUGCUAAAUAUGAAAUGGGCAGACUUAAAAUCAUAAUGAAGGGAAAUUGUCUUUAAAACAUCUAUCACUUCUCGAGGUUACUGCGAAUUUAAAUGAAUAGAGUUGAAUGGAAAUUGAUUAUAUCCUAAAACAUCGGAGAACUUCAACCUUGGACCUACCAGUUUAAUGGUAGUCAUGAUUCUUAUCUUCAUAUCCUAAAACUGAACCUACAAACUUGAAUUAAUGGUCCAUUGAUUGGGAGAGAGUUCAACUUUAACUUCAAAGUACAAGCAAAUUGACACAUUAUAUGCAAAUUGAUUUAAAACUUUAUUCAUCAAAUCUCUUUCCAUUCCAUAUCUCCUUAUCUGCUUUCUUUUUAUUCUCUCUGUUAUUCUAUAAAUCUCUCAGCUGUAAUCUCCAGAUAGAAAAGAUUUGAUUUCUUCAGCUGAUAUACACAAGGGUACUUCAAGCUUUUUUGGCAUUCUGGUUCAACCUGUUUUUUUUUUUUUUUUUUUUUUUUUUUUUUUUUUUUUAAUUUUAAAAAACACCAUUUAGAUGCUAUAAUCACUGAAAAAGCUAAAAUUUAUAGCACAUGGUAAAUUACAAAUGAAAAUUAUGAAUAUAAAGUCUUUCCCUUUUUAAACAACAUUGUUAAUAUCAACAUUUUCUUUACCUGCGGGUCGUGGCUCAGUUGAUAAUGUAGACUAGACAUGUGAAAAUAGCUUUUGCUAAGCACACCUGCAUGCAAGAAGGGGCGCAUAGCGUUAAUUGUAACUAAGCCCUUAGCUGGAUUAGGCGAUACUUGGUAAUAAAAUCCAGAUACCGAAGGUUUACACUAAAAAAAAAAAUAUCAACAUUUUCUUUGCUUGGUCUGUUUAUGAUCCAAUAUGUGCA
rnacentral:lncRNA from 1 species